AUUGAACGCUAGCGGGAUGCUUUACACAUGCAAGUCGAACGGCAGCGCGGACUUCGGUCUGGCGGCGAGUGGCGAACGGGUGAGUAAUGUAUCGGAACGUGCCCAGUAGCGGGGGAUAACUACGCGAAAGCGUAGCUAAUACCGCAUACGCCCUACGGGGGAAAGCAGGGGAUCGUAAGACCUUGCACUAUUGGAGCGGCCGAUAUCGGAUUAGCUAGUUGUUGAGGUAACGGCUCACCAAGGCGACGAUCCGUAGCUGGUUUGAGAGGACGACCAGCCACACUGGGACUGAGACACGGCCCAGACUCCUACGGGAGGCAGCAGUGGGGAAUUUUGGACAAUGGGGGCAACCCUGAUCCAGCCAUCCCGCGUGUGCGAUGAAGGCCUUCGGGUUGUAAAGCACUUUUGGCAGGAAAGAAACGUCGCGGGCUAAUACCCCGUGGAACUGACGGUACCUGCAGAAUAAGCACCGGCUAACUACGUG
rnacentral:rRNA from 1 species